UUACACAUUUCCAGCAGACACGCCGCCAAUCUGUGAGUCAUUCCUGACCAAUGGCCAGCAGGGUUUGGGGACUGUUUGGAUUUGGAGGUGAGAGAAAGGGCAGUGUCAACCAUCUCCUGCCCAGGAUGGGUGGGAGUGGAGGAGUGCUGACGGACUGAGUUUCGAGCACGCUAAUAUGAGGAACUUGUAGCUUGGAUUGGAGAAUGAAUUGCCCGGGGCCCAGUGUGCCACCUGAUGGAAAGCACAGGCCAUGAAGAACAGGAAGACACACAGCAGAGGGGUCUACCCUUUGGAGAUAGUCAUCCUACCUGACCCAUGGGCACAUCCAGAGGCCAGUGCAAUGUCAUCCAGCUCCUGUCCAGUCCAAGAGCUCCAUCCUUGCCACCUGAGGAGCAAGCAACACCCUUCACUUUUUGAUGAAAUCCCAAGAGCAAAAGGUGGAAGAGACUAGAAGGAAAUGCCAGCCCAAUAUGAGGAGUUUUCCAACAAUCUAGGCUGCCUUGUGAAGAGGUAAGCUCUUAGUCGAUGGCAGUUUGCAAGAGUGAGGCCAUGCCCCUGCACAGUGACCUGCCCAGAAAAGAGGGACAUCCCGGAGAAAAGAACUGGAAGUUUGGCUAGGAGGGGGGCUCUGGAUCUAGACUCUUUGCAUCCAUACCCCAGAUUGCUACCUACCAGCAGAGUGACAUGGGGAAAGUUACUUAGCCUCUCUGUGGCUCAGUUUUGUCAUCUGUCAGUUGGGGCUAAGAAUAGCAUCUGUCUCAUAGGGUGGUUAAGUGAGUUAAUACAUGAACUUACCAUUAUUAGCAUCCUCAUCACAUCUCUGGAUGUGGGUGGCAAAUGACACUGGCUCUGGGGACACCAUCCAAGAGCUCGUUAAUGAGGAAAAACAACCUUUCUCUGGAUUUUCUCGAGGGGCAGGCUGCAAGCAAGUUCCGAACUCUAGAUGGUGAGCUAUGCCAGGCUUGCUUUAACUCAUGCCCUCUUUGUGUUUACUUCUCAGCUGUCCUCCCUUAGGUUUUAAAAGUUAAAAGUCUUUUGACAGUUUCAGGUUGAUGCCACUGCUCAAAGGAUAAAUGCAGGAAAGAGUUCAGGGCCUCGAUUGGGAACAUUAAAAGGAUGGCAGUGACCCCUUCCCAGUCCUUGAGGCCAGAGGGGAGGGUGCUGGCAGGGGUCAAAUCCAGACUCCAGGGGAGGUCUGGCCAUUGCCUACUGGGACACUGGACUUCCCAGGCUCAUUAUGCUCACACCCUUGCCUGUCAAGGUUGUAAAAAUAGAAAACCAAAACCAAGAUGUGGGAGAGAGUUCAGUAAGUCAUAUGAGAACAUCCAUCUCAUUUCUUCAUCGUGAAGCCUUAUUUCUGAUGUAAAAUGCAAAAAUCAGACAACCUGAUUCUUCUUCUUCUUCUUCUUCUUCUUCUUCUUUUUUUUUUUUCCAAGACCUGGGUCCAACAGUAGUUACAGUCCAAAAUCAAAUUUACCUUGUGCAUCAGCCAGGGUCCAGUCCCAAAUAAGAAAGCACAUUAGUUAUUUUAACAGAGAGAAUUUGCUAUAGGGAAUUGUUUGGACAGGUGUUAGAACCUAGAAGUUCAGAGAGGGGACCCCACAGAGCUGGGAUCUGGACCUCUUGAGGAGGGGACACUACCCUUUGCAUUGAGGGAAUGCAAUGGGUUUUGGGGGGUGUUGGAAAAAAUUGAAGGUGGUUACCAAGUGCUGCCGCCAAGAUGCAGGGCCAUUGCUAAGGUGAAAAAGUGAGGCUUAUGCAGCUCAGGAGAAUUGCAACCAAAAGGAAAAGAGCAAGGCCCACUUCCCCCUCCAACCUUGCAGUCUCUCUCUAGCGCCCACUCGCCACAGAGGCAGCAGCUGGCUGCACGGAAAUGGGUUUGCAGGGUCCCAGGCCCUGUGCCACAGAGUGAAUCACAGGAAAGGGUGGGUUUUGGGCUGAGGUGAUAGCUUAAUAACCAGCACAUUCUGGAAGGAAGAAAUCUUCACCACUUGGACUUGCAAAGAAAUGACCCACAGGCCUUGGAACAACUCCCAAAGCAUAACUUAGAGAGAUAACAAUACUUUUUAGAAAUAAAUUCUGAUUUAUAUAACAUUUAUCGAUCACCUCCUAUGUGCCAAGCACUGUGCUGGGUGCUAUGGGGAGGCUUGGAACCAAAAAGAUCUUCAAGGUUGCGUGUUCGAAUGUUGGCUUUGUUUUUUUUUUUAAAGAUUUUAUUUAU